rnacentral:rRNA from 2 species
UAGUAUGUGGGGCAGCAGGCGCGAAACAUUUACACUGCACGCCAGUGCGAUAAGGGAGUGCCAACUGCGUGGGCAUAGAGCCUGCGCUUUUGUCCACCGUAGGGAGGUGGACGAAUAAGGGGUGGGCAAGACCGGUGCCAGCCGCCGCGGUAAUACCGGCAGCCCGAGUGAUGGCCGAUUUUAUUGGGCCUAAAGCGUCCGUAGCCGGCCGCGCAAGUCCCUCGGGAAAUCCACCCGCUCAACGGGUGGGCGUCCGGGGGAAACUGCUUGGCUUGGGACCGGAAGGCGGUGAGGGGUACUUCCGGGGUAGGAGUGAAAUCCCGUAAUCCUGGGAGGACCACCGAUGGCGAAAGCAUCUCACGAGGACGGAUCCGACGGUGAGGGACGAAAGCUAGGGUAUCGAACCGGAUUAGAUACCCGGGUAGUCCUAGCAGUAAACGAUGUGAGCUAGGUGUG